CGAAAUGUAAAUGGUAGUCUUGUGACGAUAACUACAACUAAAUAUAAAAUGCAAUAUUGUCAACGACUAAAUCUGGUUCACAAAAUAAAAACUGCUAAAAUGUCUCCUCAUUUUCAUUGACUUAACCGAGACGAGACGAAAUUGUUCAGUCGCGUUGUUUUUGUUUUCUGUUUCCUCGGCUGUGUGUCGCCCUGCUCAGACACAGGCGACGUCACGUCCUCAAUCCCCUAACUCACGGUAUUUUUAGACGCGGUGGGCAAAGACGUUUCUGGGUGAGUUAGAGUCAUGGUCGGGUUGACUGGGAGAAAAAGAAGAAAUUAUAUCUGGACACUUCAAGUACAAACAAAACGGAGUGUGUCGUGGAAAAAGAAAAAGGGAGAAAUGCGGCUGGAAAAUAGCGGGAAAAACAGACAUCUGCAGGUCUCCCAUGCUGAACUCGAGGUAAGUAAAAUAAGUUAUCAUUGACUAAAACUAGACGAAAAUGUCAUCAGAAAGUGACUUAAACUGAUAAAAACUAAAAUGACAGUUUGACCUUCUGCAGACCUUUUGCCGCAUUCGCCGUGACUUUGUCAAACUGAAACAAACUAAAGAGUUGAAGUUACUGAAAGGACAGUUUAAACCUGACAUGGAAGUUAUUUAAAGUACUUUUUAGAUUUUUCUCUUUAACUUUAAGGUUUCAGAAAAAUUCCCUCAUGAAUAUUUUUAAUUCUCGAUCUUUCAAACUUGGAGGAUGAAAUCAGCUGCAGAAACUCUCCUCCUGUUUUCUUCUGCUGAGGAACUCUGAAACCAUCAAACUGUCUUCUUCAUUCUUGACAGCUUGUCUGCCUCCAUAUGGUCCAAAAACUGACUCCACAAUAAGAC